CAGAUUCCAGCAAGGCGAGGUAUCUGUACAAUUCAGGGGUAACGGACGUAUCUCAGCAGGCCUGGGGCAAAAUAACAGUCUAUUCAAAACAGGGCUUCAGCUUUUUUUGUAGGUGGGUGGAGACAAACACCUCUUAUUAUUACUCUGAGAGUGUGCGGGUCCUUGGGCCACUGAUGACCCAGGCCAUGGAGAAGUCAAAAGCAGCAUCCGUUUUCAUCUCUGAUCACACCACACAUUUCAUCCUCUGGGAGAGACAAAAGAUGCCGCUGGUCAUAGAAUGGGUCUACACCAACACUCUAGACAGUGUGUUCCAGGUGUUGGCGUAUGUGAGGGAGCUGCUCCGCCCCCUUUAUCUCAACUACAUCCUGCCAGCCCUGGCUUUUUUGGGCCUUGAUUUAUAAGUAAUGUUGCUCUGAGUCUCUUUCCAUAGCGAAUGGAAAUAAAUCCAACGUUAUAUUUGGCUUUAUUUAAAGCUCUGGUAGAUAGCGUGAUAGAAACUCACCUGCCUCUGUGUUUCUCUCUUCCAGGGGUUAUGACCAUCCAGCGCUCUCUCAGCAGGAGCCGUCUUCUGUCUCUUGUUUCUCUCUCUCACGCUCUGUCUUUCUUGCUCUCUCUUUCUCUCUCUCUCUCCCUGAGUUUUCCACCGCAAAUUUAAACUGUUGCUUUAACAAAUUGUAUAAUUUAUAGAAGGUGAAGGUAUGUAGAUGAUUUAUAGUCUGUUUUUUAUUUAAAGAUAUAUUAAAAGCAAAAGAAAUAGAGAAACUUGCUAAAGGGCAGGAAAAAGAAAAAUGUAAGCAAUCUUUGUAAGCAUUACAAACAGGAUGUUGACCAUUCGGCUCUGAGGUGUUUUCCAUGAGUCACUGUCCAAUUUGUAUCAAACAUGAAGUGACAAAUGUCAACAGUUGAAGAUUGGCCAUUCGAUAAAAGUGAGUCUUUAGAAGAGAUUUAAUUAAAGGAAGAUACUACGUUUGACUCCCUGAGCUCUGAGCUCCAGGGUGGUGGAGCCCGGACAGCGAAAGGCCUGGUCACCGGUUUAAUACCGAAUCAUUAUCAUCAUCAUCACGAGGCUUUAAUAAAAACAAGUUUGAACUUUACUACUGAGGCAUCUUGAAAAUGGGACCAUUUCACUCGUGUCUGAAGACAUUUAUCUUAACACCAAUCUGUUCAUUCAGUCGUAUCUUGUGCGUCAUCCGCAUACACGGUAAUGAUGACACAUACAGUUCGGCUAGAACUUUCUCCGCAGAGAGUCAGAUUCCUGUUGUUUGUUGUGCCUGCUUUAAUGAGGCCUAACCAGAUCCAUAUAUGUGUCACGCACCCAUUGCACCUUUACUCUCCGGUUCACGAGAAUCAUGACACAGACCUGAGUUACGGUUUUUCACGGCUUUAGAAGUUUGAACCAAACUGCUCAGCCUCCCGUCUCCGAGCUCAUCCCUCAAACGAUGGAGAGGCGUGGGAACUCUCCAUGACUGAAAAUAGGACCCACAUUGCCAAGUGGAGCGUGGCGCCACGUAGCUUGAUGUGCUUCACACACAUCACCCGCCUGUUUUCACCUCAGCUGGUGAAGCGGGAAAAACCCUCCCUCCGUUUAUUCAAUUGCACUCAUCUCCUGGAGCGCUGGAUUGGGAGCCGUCACAGAAGCUCGCACACGGGAGCGAUAGGCUACGUGAUGCAGAUGGACAUUGUGAAUCAGAUGUUUGCUUGUGUAAAUAUAUCGGCCGAUCGCAACACGCACUCUGCGCUGCUAAGAGGAGCUAAAAGGGUGCCGGCAAAGUCAAUGUGACGCCACAAGAUCUGAUUUCAAAUCUGCUGCUGUCAACGAUUCCCAGAUGAAGCAAAAAGUGUUGUGAUUAGGGUUGCAAAGGGACGAACAAUUUUCUGUACAUUUUCGGAAGCUUUCCGGAAA